AUUAUUAACACGUACAGCUCAGAUAUCGACAUAAAUAACAAAUUAUUUUGUCUUGUUACCGGCAACAAAGAUGAGUAAAAUAAAAAUUGCGGACUACAGCGUACAGACAUGUGUAUACCUUGUGUUGACUUGUUUCGAAAGUUGUAGUUCACAUUUUUAUAGAAAACUUUCACGAAAUUUAAUUCCCUUUUUUCUAUUUUCGCCUAUCAAAAUCGCGAAAAUAAAGUCUCGCAAAACAUUGCCUCGAAAAUUCGCGAAAUUAAGUACGUGCGAACUUUUAAGUUAAGAUAAGAAUAAGAUAUUUUACUUGAACUUUUUAAAGGAAUUUUUCAUAUUCCAUGACAUGAAAUUUCACAUGUCAAAUCAUUCGGAGUCCAACGCUGUACAAGGCGUAGUUUAUUGUACAGAGAUAUUGCCUGU